GGGCGCAAGUGCAAUUGUACGCGCCUCGCUGUGCCAUGGCGGCGGCGCCGAGCACAGUCAUCCUGCUGGCCGCGGAGUCUUCCCCUCAGGAAGCUACCGUCUCUGCCGCCUCCUCCUCCUACGUCGCCUGCGCGGCGGCGGCGGCGGCGGCCGUGGCAGUGAUUGUGCCUGCCUCCUCCGCCACCUCCACCCCUGUCUGCCCGCUAGCCGAUGGCUGUGGCGACGGCGGCGGCUUUGGCGGCUCCGGCGGCUCCACUAUGGCGGCGGCGGGGAGGGGGGGCAGUAGUUUUAAAGUAGACACCCGCCCUUGCCUCAGAGAAGGGUAUCUCUCAUGCUGUACCACUUGGGAUUUGGGGAGGGGUGAUGCAGAUGCCACUUGGAAUGAACAGGGAAAGACUGAACUUUUUACAGAUAACUUUUGUCGAGUAUGUGGAGUGAUGCUACAGUUCGAAUCACAAAGGAUUUCGCAUUAUGAGAGUGAAAAACAUGCUCAAAAUGUUAGAUUUUAUUUUCAAAUGCAUGGGGAACAAAAUGAAAUGCCUGGUAAGAGAAUGAAGAUGCAUGUUGGGAACCUUAAGGUGCAUAGGAGUGGAGUAGUAGACAGAAACAAAUUUUGUGAUCUCUGCAACAUGAUUUUUAGCUCUCCAAUUGUUGCUCAAUCUCACUAUGUGGGGAAGGUCCAUGCUAAAAAACUGAAGCAACUAAUGGAGGAACAUUAUUAUGUAUCUCCAUCAGGAUUUCAACCAGAGAUGGCAGGUGUGCCUGUUCGUACUUACACAGAGUCAACCUUCCUGAAGCCUUUUGCUGCCAAGCCUCCUCCAGCAUUUAAUAUGAGAACCUACAUUUGCCAUAUUUGUAGUAUAACCUUUACAUCUUUAGAUAUGUUCCAGUCCCACAUGCAAGGGAGUGAACAUCAAAUUAAAGAAUCCCUUGUUAUCAAUCUAGUAAAGAAUUCAAAUACACAAAAUUCUUGCCAAGUUGAAUGUGCAGAUUAUAUCAAAAUGCAGAAAACGAGAGAACUAGAGUAUAGGACUUGUUUCAGAAAGAUGGAAGAGAAUUAUUUGGAAAGCCUUGGGUAUAGAGAAAUGGUUGAUUCCAGACCCAGACCUAAAAUGUAUGAAGAAAGACUUCCAUUUGAGACUUUCCAGACAUACCCAGGACCAUACAAUAAUUCACAAGCAGUGGAAAACCAGUUACCGCAUUGCUUACCAGCUCAUUCAAAGAAGACACAUGACUCUUUCAAAGAUGAACUUGAAGAUUACAUCAAAGUGCAAAAAGCUAGAGGACUAGAUCCAAACACUUGUUUUAGAAAGAUGAGAGAAAACUCUGUGAACCGAGGGUAUAGAGAAAUGGUUGAUUCUGGACCCAGACAAAGAAUGUGUGAGCAAAGAUUUUCUUUUGAGACUUCCCAUACUUACCACCAAUCAUACAGUAGUUCACCAGUGGAAGGCCAGUUACCUCAUUGGUUACCAGCUCAUUCAAAGAGAACAUAUGACUCUUUCCAAGAUGAACUUGAUGAUUACAUCAAAGUGCAGAAAGCCAGAGGAUUAGAGCCAAAGACUUGUUUCAGAAAGAUAGUUGAUAGCUCUGUGGAAACUCAUAGGCACAGAGAAAUGGUUGAUAGCAGAACAAGAUACAGAAUGUUUGAGCAAAGACUCCCAUUUGAGACUUUCCAGACCUAUACAGGACCAUACAAUAGUUCACAAACAGUAGAAAACCAGUUACCUCAUUGCUUACCAGCUUAUGACAGCAAACAGAGACUAGACUCUGUAAAGUACUGUCAACUUCCCAGAGACUAUUUCUCAGAAAAACCAGUACCUCUGAGCCUUAGUCAGCAAGAAAAUAACUCUGGUCCAUAUAGUGUAGAAUGUGAAAUUUAUAAGCACCUUUCCUCAGAAAACAACACCAGUGACCAUCAAGCAGCUCAUAAACGGCGACACCAGAAGAGAAGACGACACCUUGAGGAAGGUGAAGAAAGGCAAGAGAAGGAGCAGUCCAAGCAUAAAAAGAAAAAGAGUCAUGAGGAUAUGGAUUUAGGCAAAGACAAGAGCAUCCAACAAAGUAAACGAGAAGAGGAUAAAGUCAGGGUCAGUUCAGGAAAACUUAAGCAUCGAAAAAAGAAAAAAAGCCAUGAUAUAUCCUCUGAAAAAGAAGAACGUAAGCACAGGAAAGAGAAAAGAAAAUCUGUUGAAGAAAGGACAGAAGAGGAAAUGCUUUGGGAUGAGUCAAUUCUUGGAUUUUAAACUUUUAGUUUACCAAAGGAUGAUUUGAAGAAAACAUUAUGGGUUUAGAUAAAGACAGGAGAAUCCAAUGAAAAAAAGGAGAGUUUGAUAUGGUCAUUGUUGGUGCAGGAAAGCUUCGUUGUUUUGUGUGCAAAAAUUAAAAAUGAAAGAAGAAACACGAAAAGCCUAAGUCAGUUUUAGAAAGAAGAACAGCAGAGAAAAUCAAACCUAUGAAAGAAAAAUAGAAGAGUCAGUAUUUCGGGAUGAAUCUGCUUUGGGAUUUUAAACUUUUAGUUGGUGUUUCCUCAAGGAUGAAUUGAAGAAAACAUCAAGAAGAUGAAAUUAGAUAAACACAAGAGCAUCAGAUGAAAAGGAGAGCAACUCCUGUAAGCAUUUGAGCAUCACUGUGGUAUAAUAGAAAGUAUAAUGGCCUGGGAAUCCAAAUCCCAGGGUUGGAUUCCAGUUGUACCAUCAAGUUGCAGCGUGAUCUUGAGAAUGCCAUCAGAAUCCAACAUGGAGUCACCAGGAAUAGGAAAAAUAGGCUAUAGUAGUCCCUUCACGUGCUAAACCUAUUCAACAAGUAAGUAAAUUUUAAUGGUGAUAUAUCUGCAUUUAGGCAAGCCAUUUGAUAGUUGGUUUUUAUAUUUGAAAUUUAAAUAAAAUGGUAGAUAUGUGCUAAAGCAUGAUAUUAUUGGUCGGGCUUAUACCUAGUUAAAUAAAUAGUCCCAAAAAGUUAGAUGGUCCCCAAAUCAUUUUUUUCUUUCAUGAGACUGUUAAUAUAAGAUUAUUUUAUGCUAUAGUAUCAUCCCCCCUUUUAAACCAUAUUUGGUAUACUAGUGAAAGGACAGGAAGAAGAGCCAAGAUAGAACAAGUAGACUAAAUUGUCAGCCACAAAAUUGGCAUUUUUUUUUCUGAGCACACACACACAAAUACAAAAGUACAAAGUUUUUUUUCCGUACAGAAAAUGCAAGAUAAGAUCAAUUGAAUCAUUAACACUUUUACAGUUGAUAAAUUCUUAUGCAGAAGUCUUUUUCUGUUUAAAUCUGUUGGGGGAAUUCAACAUUAUAUAUCAAGAAUAUUCACUAAGAUACCAAAUUACUGUGUUAUUCUCAAAAUGUAUAGAUACAAUGUUCCAUUAAAAUUAGCCAUACAUAACUUUAUAGAAGAUGGAUCAUGUAAAUUAAAAAAAACAUUUAAAUUGGGUAGUGUGGCUAUUGGAGCAAAUAGGGUGUGGUUUUGAUUACAAUCUUAAGGCAGUAACUUAGGCUUGCCCAAGAAAAGUGGUUUUCAAAGAUUUUAGGAUAAACUUUUUUGGCAAAAGUAAAUUAUUUGUUAACCAGAAAAUUUAAUUUUAUGGUUGAAGCUGGUGACAAGCACUUGGAACCCAAGUUUUGCAUAUUUGCUCUGCUCCCAUCUUCUGCCUCUAAGCAUCUGGAGGUAAGAAUAUAUCUAAGUCAAGAUACACCAACACAGGGAGAGAAGAUAUAAAGUGAUCUCCACUUCUGGAGUUGACUGCUGACUCUGUUAAGAUUAAAUUUAGUAGUAAAAGUUUUUUAAAAAUCCUGCACGGGGUAUGGAAGACAAUAUAAAGACUUAUUUGAGGAAAAAUAAUUUAAUAUAUUACAUAUGAAAGCAAUGUUUGGGGAUGUAUUACAUGUUUGGUUUGAAAGACCAAUAUCUAGACAUAAAUUCACAUAUGAUCUGAGGCAAAUAUGUUAAAGACAGUAUUCAGAACAAGUAAACUAAUAGUACCUAACUUCAGAGAUGUGCCCUGAACGGAUAGUAGAAAUGAGCAAACAUAGGCUUAAUUUGAAAAAUAUUUUUCAAAAAUGGGAGUUUUAGAAAAAAUAUAUAAUUGGCUGUCCUGUUAUAUACAUGCAUUGAGAAAAUAAUAGCUGACUGUCAGUAUUGUGCCAGAAAGGGACCUGAGGAAGAAAUGAACAUAUGUCCUGUUUCGCAAAAAGCCCACACAGUCCACAAGAGGAAAUGGACCAAUAAAUAGGUAAUUGUGAUAUGAAUUGGAUAAAGGCUACAACAGGAAUGAUGAUGAAGGGGAAGAUGGCAUUCAGGAAAGGCUUCACAAAGGAAACUGUUCUAAAUAAACUUCCCAGUUCAAAGUUGUAUCUCUUUAAUAUAUCCAUGUAGCUAGAAGGCACCUCAAACUUAAUAUAGCCAAAAUAGAGUGCCUGCCUGUCAUUAUUAAUCAUUCAUUUUCUAGUUUACCCAUUUAUGUAAAAAUCUUCAUUCAGUUGCUCAAGCAAAAACAAACAUUUUUGAGCAUCUCUUCUUUGCAUUAAACCAAACAAUUCCUCUUAAUUAUAUGACCAAAAGAGGAAAAUAUGUUUGAGAGCAACUAAAACAUUAGAAGUCAUUACAGUUUCUGAAUUACAGGUAAGUGAAGAAAACUGCACAGGAUCAUCAAAAGAGAACUGUGGUGAACUAACUCCUUGAGGAUCUCAGAACCAUUCAGCAUACAUUUUCCUCCAGGGUAAAUCCAUGUGAAAAAAGGAAACUUCUAGUUUCUGAAAUCAAAUUGAACAGAGCAGAAAGAUUGUAAGGAAAAAUGUAAAAUUCAUAUGUUAGAGGGUAGGAGAAGAAUCUAGAGAAAGCAGAUCUCAGAAAGCAUUAUGGCACCAAAAUAAAUAUAUAAACAUGAGAGUAACAUAUUAGACUUCAAGACCUGUUAAAUGUGAACACCAGAAAAUGCAGACAAAAAGCAGUUGGAACAUCUGACCUAGUAAUUUUUUAAGUGGGCUAAAUGGAAGAAAACAUUUAAACCUUUGAAACAGAAUGAAUCAGAAAAAUAAUCCAGAAACAGUCAACUGAAGGGUGUGAAACAAAAACUGAUGGAAGGAAACAAUUACAAAAAAAAAUCCAUAAAUGAAAGACUUGGAAGGUAGGAGAAACACUGAUAAAAAUGGUAAGGAAGAUAAGAGCAAAGUGAAGACAAUUUUUAAUUAUAUAAAAGAUUGAUAGAAGUAAUAGGUAAAAGAGCCAAUGGAGAUCUAAAUUAAAUAUGUUGUAUUGGAUGCUGUAUUGUGCUGACCCAAACCAUCCUCUACCUGUCACACCUUUUUCAGGUGAGAGGCAUUCAUUUCUCCAGUUUCUAGGGAAUAGUCCUUGUCUAAGGAAACUGCCCUUCCUAAGACCAGGCCUCCUGCUUCAGUCUGAGACACCUGCAAAAGGCUAUUCUAGUUACAGAGUUCCUUAUGGGAUGAGCAGAGGUAUUUGUCGUGACUGUUUGUAGUUCCAUUUAUCCUUCUAUCACUGCCUUACAAAUAUUUUUUCUUUUGUGAUACCCCUUUAAAUUGCCUUCAUCAAAUCCCUACCUCAUAAUAAUUUCUUCCCAGAACCUUACCUAGGUCAAGAGGAACCAGAAAUGGUCUUAGGAAAUAGACACCAAAAAGGGGCACUUUGGAGCAGGCAAUAUGGAUUCUCUCAUUUGUAGGAGGUAAAAUACCGAUGGUAGGUGCUUUCUGUCAUGCUAUGGCAGUAUAGUUUUAAAAUUUUCACCAAUGAUGCUAUUGGACAGGAAUAUACAUGCAUGUGUAAUAUCUCAAGCAGUUGAGAGGAUCAGGGGACAUAGCAAUUAUAUGAAAACUGCUAAAUUUCAGAGUCAUUGUUGUCUUGGAGAAAGAAAAUGAAGGCUGAGAGAAUCAUCAAUUUAAGGAAAAAUAUGAAAGUUAAAAGGUGUUAUGGUUUAGAUACCUGGUAUACCCCAAAAUCCCAUGUGUGAGAAUGCAAGAAGGUUUAGAGGCCAGAUGAUUGGGCCAUGAGAACUUAACCAAAUCAGUGUGUUAAUUCCUUGAUAGGGAUUAAUUGAGUGGUAACUGAAAGUGGGUAGGGUGUGGCUGAAGGAGGUGGGUCAUUAAGGGAAUGCCUUUGGGGUUUAUAUUUUGUGGUUGUGAGGAGAGCUCUCUCUCUGCUUCCUGGUGCCAUGUCCCCAACAGCUUUCCUCUGCCACACACUUCUGCCGUGAUAUCCUGCCUCACCUCAGGCCCUGAGAAAUGGAAUUCACUGUCUGUGGAUUCAGACUUCCAAAGUAGUGAGCCCCAAAAUAAACUUUUCCUCCUUAAAAUUGUUCUUGUCAGAUCUUUUGUUCACAGCAGCAAAAAUAUGUCUAAACUGAAGGCAUCCUUGGUAGCAUAUAAAGGGAUUUUCAUCUCUUCAUCUUCAUCACACCUUCCCCUGGACCCUCUGAACUCUAGAAUUGCCAGAUAAAAUACGGGAUGACAAAUUUAAUUGUUAAAUUUGAAUUUCAUAUAAUGAGCUAAUUUUAGUAUAAAUGUGUUCCGUGGAAUAUUUGAGAUAAAAUACACUUAAAAUUGUUUAUAUAAAAUCCAAAAUUAACUGGGUGUCAUUAUAUUUAAUUAGUUUUGAUAAAUGUGGCCACUUAACACAUUUCUAACAAUUAAUGGCUAGCAUUCUUUUCUUGCUUAAAGAUAAUAUUGCCUUGAAAGACAAUAAGGCCCUUCCCCAAGCAUUUAUACCCAUCACUCCUACUGUCCAUCAGACCAGUUACUAUGAUCAAACCACAGUUUAACCCAGCCUGAGAAAUACUAGUCUUAUAAGGGGAAAAAGAGAGACUGUAUGUAUUCUAACAGAAGGAAAGAACUAGGAAGAGGUUUGGUGGAACUGGUCUCUAAGAUUAGACAAUUUGUGGCCAGAAUGUAAGAGAGCUAGAGGUUUCUAGGAGGAGCUCCAGGAGAAGGGCAAGUCAGGAAAGAGUAAGGGUGGGCUCUCCAGAAAUGGGGCAUGGAGGACUUUGAUAAACAGUACUAGUAGCCUUGUUCUGUUACGAAGCAGGAGUUGCUAUGGUUUGAAUGUAUUUAUAUUCUCCAUAAUUCACAUGCUGGAAACUUAAUUCUCAAUGCAUCAAUAUUGCAAGGUAGGACAUAGUAGGAGGUGCUUAGAUCAUGAGAGUCCUGCCCACACAAGUGGAUUAAUGUCACUAUACAAAGGACUUGUGGAUGUGGCUUCAUUCUUAUCAGUGCUUAUGCCAUAUGAGGAAUGGUUUUUACCACCCCUCUCCCACCCCUGAGAAUAAGUAUUCAAGUCACCAUCCUGGCAGUGGAGACAAGGCCCUUAACAGACAACAAAAAUAUGCCAGCAUGUUGAUUUUGGACUUUGCAACCUCUAUAACAGUGAGAAAUAAACUUCUGUUUUUUAUAAAUUACCCAGUCAAGUCUCAGACAUUCUGUCAUAAUAGCACAAAUAGAAUAUAACAGGAAUCAUGAAAUAUUUCUAAGCAAAAAAUAAAAUAAAAAGUUGGACUGGAUUAUCUCUGAUGGUCUUUUAUGAGUCUAAUGUGCUCAUAAAACACAUUUAGUGUGAAGCUGGAGGCUAGGCAGGGAAGGAGACACAACAUAGGAUCUGCACAGUAAUCUAAGUGUGAUAUUAGGUAAUAGGGUAG